CUCGACCCGAGGGAUUAGCGAUUAGAGAGUUGAUGGAAAAUUAGAAGGAAGCAAUGCCACUCAAAAAACAAGAUACCCAAAAAGCCCUGCAACUGAUGGAGGAAUGCCAGACGUUAGCAGAAGACCCAAGUUUUAAGGACAAAGCAGAAAAACUGUUGAACAUCUUUCAGAGCGACUUGUUCCAGGCCCUCCUAGAUAUCCAGGAGUUUUAUGAGCUGACAGUGUUUGAAAAUCAACCCGAUAGUUUUGCUCGAAUGUCGCCACAG